rnacentral:rRNA from 1 species
GCGCACGGGUGCGUAACGCGUAUGCAAUCUGCCUUUCACAGAGGGAUAGCCCAGAGAAAUUUGGAUUAAUACCUCAUAGCAUUACCGGAUGGCAUGGUCCGGUUAUUAAAGUCACAACGGUGAAAGAUGAGCAUGCGUCCCAUUAGCUAGUUGGUAAGGUAACGGCUUACCAAGGCGACGAUGGGUAGGGGUCCUGAGAGGGAGAUCCCCCACACUGGUACUGAGACACGGACCAGACUCCUACGGGAGGCAGCAGUGAGGAAUAUUGGUCAAUGGACGCAAGUCUGAACCAGCCAUGCCGCGUGCAGGAUGACGGUCCUAUGGAUUGUAAACUGCUUUUGCACAGGAAGAAACACUCCGACGUGUCGGAGCUUGACGGUACUGUGAGAAUAAGGAUCGGCUAACUCCGUGCCAGCAGCCGCGGUAAUACGGAGGAUCCAAGCGUUAUCCGGAAUCAUU